AUCGGGUACGGCGACAUCGUGCCGAAGACCAGCGUCGGCAUGAUCAUCGGCUGCAUGUGCGCGCUGACCGGGGUGCUGACCUUGGCACUGCCGAUGCCGGUCAUCGUUAGCAAC
rfam:Soboliphyme baturini genome assembly, scaffold: SBAD_scaffold0001725